rnacentral:antisense_RNA from 1 species
UUUCAUGGCGGGCGCAUGGGCAACCUUCGGGUUGGCCGUUGUUCCUGCGGUAUUGCUACCCCAUGUUGCCCGCCUCCCUC